AAUACUGGGCUAAAAUCAACGUGUCAGGAAGGCUGUGUUCCUUCUUGAGGCUCCAGGAGAAGUCGUUUCUUUGCCCUUUCUGGGUUCUAGAGACUGCCACAUUCGGGUUCUAGGAAGUAGGACAUGGACAUCGUUGGGGGACCAUUAAUUUGCCUACCACCAGUAGCUCUUAACAACAAGAGUGUGAAGCAGAUUUGAAUCUAAACCCUGGCCUGGAGCCACACCCAACUGAGAUCAGCAGAGUGGCCCUACUUGAUCCAUAGACACAC
rnacentral:lncRNA from 1 species